GGACUACCCGGGUAUCUAAUCCUGUUUGCUACCCACGCUUUCGCGCCUCAGCGUCAGAUAAUGCCCAGUGAACUGCCUUCGCCAUGGGUGUUCCUCCUGAUAUCUACGCAUUUCACCGCUACACCAGGAAUUCCAUUCACCUCUGCAUUCCUCAAGCUCGCCAGUAUGCGAAAUAGUUUCCGGGUUGAGCCCUGGAGAUUUAGCUUCACACUUAACGAGCCGCCUACGCGCUCUUUACGCCCAGUAAAUCCGGACAACGCUCGCACCCUACGUCUUACCGCGGCUGCUGGCAC
rnacentral:rRNA from 1 species